rnacentral:rRNA from 1 species
CUACGGGUUGCUGCAGUGAGGAAUAUUGCACAAUGGAGGAAACUCUGAUGCAGCAACGCCGCGUGGAGGAUGACGCAUUUCGGUGUGUAAACUCCUUUUAUGAGUCAAGAAAAUGACGGUAGCUCAUGAAUAAGCACCGGCUAACUCCGUGCCAGCAGCCGCGGUAAUACGGAGGGUGCAAGCGUUACUCGGAAUCACUGGGCGUAAAGGACGCGUAGGCGGGAUAUCAAGUCAGGUGUGAAAUCCUACAGCUUAACUGUAGAACUGCACUUGAAACUGGUAACCUAGAGUAUGGGAGGGAGAGAUGGAAUUAGUGGUAUAGGGGUAAAAUCCGUAGAUAUCACUAGGAAUACCUAAAGCGAAGGCGAUCUCCUGGAACAUAACUGACGCUAAGGCGUGAAAGCGUGGGGAGCAAACAGGAUUAGAUACCCCCGUAGUC